rnacentral:rRNA from 1 species
UACGUAGGGUGCGAGCGUUGUCCGGAAUUAUUGGGCGUAAAGGGCUCGUAGGCGGUUUGUCGCGUCUGCCGUGAAAGUCCGGGGCUCAACUCCGGAUCUGCGGUGGGUACGGGCAGACUAGAGUGAUGUAGGGGAGACUGGAAUUCCCGGUGUAGUGGUGGAAUGCGUAGAGAUCGGGAGGAACACCAGUGGCGAAGGCGGUGGCCUGGGCCGAUGCUGACGCUGAGGCGCGAAAGCGUGGGGAGCGAUCCGG